rnacentral:misc_RNA from 1 species
GAUGAAGAACGUAGCGAAAUGCGAUACGUAAUGUGAAUUGCAGAAUUCCGUGAAUCAUCGAAUCUUUGAACGCACCUUGCACCCUUUGGCAUUCUGAAGGGUAUGCUCGUUUGAGUGUCAUUGUACUCUCACACUCCCGAUCUUUGCAUUGGGAGCAGUGGACUUGGGUUUGCUGCUUCACCGUCGCUUACCUCAAAUAGGUUAGUGCAACUCUUGGUUGGACAUAGUACGGCGUGAUAAGUGUUCUUCGCCGGUGCCUCGCAAAGAGGGUGGCCGAUCGAGAUGUUGUGCUCCAAACCGUCUUCGGACAAUCUCUGACGACUUGACCUCAAAUCGAGUAAGACUACCCGCUGAACUUAAGCAUAUCAAUAAGCGGAGGA